rnacentral:rRNA from 1 species
GAUGAACGCUGGCUACAGGCUUAACACAUGCAAGUCGAGGGGAAACGACGGGGAAGCUUGCUUCCCCGGGCGUCGACCGGCGCACGGGUGAGUAACGCGUAUCCAACCUGCCUCUGACUGAGGGAUAACCCGUCGAAAGUCGGCCUAAUACCUCAUGGUAUCGUCUGCGGGCAUCCAACGACGAUUAAAGAUUUCAUCGGUCAGGGAUGGGGAUGCGUCUGAUUAGCUUGUUGGCGGGGUAACGGCCCACCAAGGCUACGAUCAGUAGGGGUUCUGAGAGGAAGGUCCCCCACAUUGGAACUGAGACCCGGUCCAAACUCCUACGGGAGGCAGCAGUGAGGAAUAGUGGUCAAUGGGCGAGAGCCUGAACCAGCCAAGUAGCGUGCAGGAAGACGGCCCUAUGGGUUGUAAACUGCUUUUAUGCGGGGAUAAAGUGAGGGACGUGUCCCUCAUUGCAGGUACCGCAUGAAUAAGGACCGGCUAAUUCCGUG